GCAAUAGAGUAGCUUUAGAAAGACUCAAACCUCUAAUGUGGGCCAGAUAUUAUGCUAAGUAUUGGAGACAUAACAGUGAACAAAAAAAUACAGUCUCUGUCUACAUAGAGCUUGCAGUCUUUUUGGAAAACAAAGUAAUCUAAUUACCAUACAUAUAAAUAUAUAAUAAACAGUAAGUGUUAUAAAGGGGAAAACACACAAGAAAAGAUGCUCAACAUCACUAAUAAUUAGAGAAAUGCAAGUCAAAAUUAUAAUGAAGUAUCACCUCACACCAGUCAGAAUGGCCAUCAUCAAAAAGUCAUCAUCAUAGGAGUUCCUGUUGUGGCUCAGCAGAAACGAAUCUGACUAGUAUCCAUGAGGACGCAGGUUCAAUCCUUGGCCUCGCUCAGUGGGUUAAGGAUCCAGUGUUGCUGUGAGCUGUGGUGUAGGCUAGCAGCUACAGCUCCAAUUUGACCCCUAGCCUGGGAAGCUCCAUAUGCCUUGAGUGCAGCCCUAAAAAGAAAAUAAAAUAAAAGUCAUCAUCAAAAAUAAAUGCUGCAGAGGGUGUGGAGAAAAGGGAAGUCUCCCACACUGUGGAUGGAAAUAUAAAUUGGUGCAACCACUAUAGAGGACAGUAUGGAGAUUCCUUUAAAAACUAAAUAUAGGGCACAGUCUUUAAGGCAUUAGCCUGCUGUGGCACCCUUUGCCUGGCUGAGCAAUAAAGCUAUCCUUUCCUCCUUUACCCAAGAAAAAAACUAAAUAUAAAACUACCAUAUGAUCCAGCAAUCCCACUCUUGGGCAUAUAUCCAGACAAAACCAUAAUUCAAAAAAAAUACAUGCACCCCAAGUUCAAUGAAGCAGUAUUUACAAAGGCCAAAACAUGGAAGCAACCUAAAUGUCCACUGACAAAGGAAUGGAUAAAGAAGAAAUGGUAUAUGUAUACAAUGAAAUAUUAUUCAGCUAUAAAAAAGAAUGAAAUAAUGCCAUUUGCAGCAAUAUGGAUAGAUCGAGAGAUCAUCAGAGUGAAGUAAAUCAAAGACAAAUAUCAUAUGAUAUCACUUAUAUGUGGACUCUAAUAAAAAUGGUACAAAAGAACUUAUUUAAAAAAAAAAAAAAAAACCUCAGAUUUCUUCUUUUUUUUUUUCUUUUUAGGGCCACACCUGCGGAUAUGGAGGCUCUCUAGAAACAAGAUAUUCUAACUUUCCAAUUUAUAUGACUAUGAAUAGAUUUCUGUUCUGAUUUCAUAGGAGUUCUCUUAUGGUACAGAAGGUUAAGGACCCAGCAUUGCCACUGCAGUGGCUCCGGUCGCUGCUGUGGCAUGGGUUUGAUGCCUGACCUAGGAACUUCCACAAGCUGCCAAGUGCAGCCAAAAAAAAAAAAAAAAAAAAAAAAAAA
rnacentral:lncRNA from 1 species